CAGUAGCCACGGUAAAACGAAGGGGGCUAGCGUUGUUCGGAAUUACUGGGCGUAAAGCGCACGUAGGCGGAUAUUUAAGUCAGGGGUGAAAUCCCGCAGCUCAACUGCAGAACUGCCUUUGAUACUGGGUAUCUUGAGUAUGGAAGAGGUUAGUGGAAUUGCGAGUGUAGAGGUGAAAUUCGUAGAUAUUCGCAGGAACACCAGUGGCGAAGGCGGCUAACUGGUCCAUAACUGACGCUGAGGUGCGAAAGCGUGGGGAGCAAACAGGAUUAGAUACCCCCGUAGUCCCUGUCUCUUAUAC
rnacentral:rRNA from 1 species